GGAACGAGUUAUCUGAACCUUCGGGGAACGAUAACGGCGUCGAGCGGCGGACGGGUGAGUAAUGCCUAGGAAAUUGCCCUGAUGUGGGGGAUAACCAUUGGAAACGAUGGCUAAUACCGCAUGAUGCCUACGGGCCAAAGAGGGGGACCUUCGGGCCUCUCGCGUCAGGAUAUGCCUAGGUGGGAUUAGCUAGUUGGUGAGGUAAGGGCUCACCAAGGCGACGAUCCCUAGCUGGUCUGAGAGGAUGAUCAGCCACACUGGAACUGAGACACGGUCCAGACUCCUACGGGAGGCAGCAGUGGGGAAUAUUGCACAAUGGGCGCAAGCCUGAUGCAGCCAUGCCGCGUGUGUGAAGAAGGCCUUCGGGUUGUAAAGCACUUUCAGUCGUGAGGAAGGUAGUGUAGUUAAUAGCUGCAUUAUUUGACGUUAGCGACAGAAGAAGCACCGGCUAACUCCGUGCCAGCAGCCGCGGUAAUACGGAGGGUGCGAGCGUUAAUCGGAAUUACUGGGCGUAAAGCGCAUGCAGGUGGUUUGUUAAGUCAGAUGUGAAAGCCCGGGGCUCAACCUCGGAAUAGCAUUUGAAACUGGCAGACUAGAGUACUGUAGAGGGGGGUAGAAUUUCAGGUGUAGCGGUGAAAUGCGUAGAGAUCUGAAGGAAUACCGGUGGCGAAGGCGGCCCCCUGGACAGAUACUGACACUCAGAUGCGAAAGCGUGGGGAGCAAACAGGAUUAGAUACCCUGGUAGUCCACGCCGUAAACGAUGUCUACUUGGAGGUUGUGGCCUUGAGCCGUGGCUUUCGGAGCUAACGCGUUAAGUAGACCGCCUGGGGAGUACGGUCGCAAGAUUAAAACUCAAAUGAAUUGACGGGGGCCCGCACAAGCGGUGGAGCAUGUGGUUUAAUUCGAUGCAACGCGAAGAACCUUACCUACUCUUGACAUCCAGAGAACUUUCCAGAGAUGGAUUGGUGCCUUCGGGAACUCUGAGACAGGUGCUGCAUGGCUGUCGUCAGCU
rnacentral:rRNA from 1 species